rnacentral:rRNA from 1 species
GCGGGAAGAGCUCAAAUUUGAAAUCUGGUAGCCUUCGGUUGCCCGAGUUGUAAUCUAGAGAAGUGUUUUCCGUGCCGGCCCAUGUACAAGUCCCUUGGAACAGGGCGUCAUAGAGGGUGAGAAUCCCGUCCUUGACAUGGACCCCCGGUGCUUUGUGAUACACUUUCAACGAGUCGAGUUGUUUGGGAAUGCAGCUCAAAAUGGGUGGUGAAUUCCAUCUAAAGCUAAAUAUUGGCGAGAGACCGAUAGCGAACAAGUACCGUGAGGGAAAGAUGAAAAGCACUUUGGAAAGAGAGUUAAACAGUACGUGAAAUUGUUGAAAGGGAAACGAUUGAAGUCAGUCAUGCUCUUAGGAUUCAGCCGUUCUGCGGUGUAUUUCCUUUGAGUGGGGUCAACAUCAGUUUUGAUCGAUGGAUAAAGGCACGAGGAAGGUAGCACUCUCGGGUGAACUUAUAGCCUCGCGUCAUAUACAUUGAUUGGGACUGAGGAACGCAGCAUGCCUUUAUGGCCGGGAUUCGUCCACGUACAUGCUUAGGAUGUUGACAUAAUGGCUUUAAACGACCCGUCUUG